AUGACAGUUUUAGUUGCAAAGAAAAAUCACAGUUUUAAAAUGAAAAAUGUCUUCUGUGAAGAAACUGUCAUGAGGGCUGUCAUCCAAUCACAACUAAAAAUGCCACCUGAAACAUUAACACAUGUCGACCCGCAAAAAAAACAUUCACAUAUGUCUCCCUCCCUGAGGAAUCGUUCCCGAGUUAUGAGCGUCCAAAAGAAUAUGCACCGAAAUUCCAAUACAGAAAACGAGAACCGACUGAAAAGGAGAUCUUCCGCGAGCAACAUUUUAUUUCUAUUCGCAGCCAGAAACGAUCCAUUUUUCUCUCUCAAUCGUACCAGAAACGACCAUUUCACUUGGCUACAGCUCGAAACAAAUUCUUGUCCGCGAGUCGCAUCCAUCCAGGAGGAUACGAUCAUACGAGCGCCGCACAGCGCUGAAGACGGCGAGGAAGCUGCGUCGUCAGCGCGGCGUUCACCUGCGGCUGUCAGCGGCGGCGCGCGGCGUGAUCUUGAUGACGAGGCCCGGGAAGACGUCGUCGGGGUCGUGGACGUGCGGGUUGUGCUCCAGGAUGUAGGGGUCGCCGCACCUGUCGCUGAUGCUGUGCAGCGUCUCCCCCUCCACCACCACGUAUAUCUCGUCGCACGGCCGCCGCGGCGCCGACGCGAUCCGCGCGCCGCGCACCACCACCGCCCCGCCGCCGCUCUCUUCCCCCUCGCCCGCGCGCAGCGACGACACCAGCAGCAGCGUCACCAGCGCCAGCCCGCAGCACCACGACGCCGCGUCCGCCGCCGCCGCCAGCCCCGACCGCCUCCGCUCCGGCGCCAUCACUACGAUUACAGCAAACCAACUAAAAACAACUACGAGAGUUCAAGAGCGAAUCGUGCGAUGUUGUUGUGA
rnacentral:rRNA from 1 species